rnacentral:ribozyme from 13 species
CAUUGAUAAACAGACCCCCACCAGAAAGAUUAAAUAAAUGAUAAUUUGUUUCACUUCUUGGAAGAUUUCUUACUCUUCUUCUCGCUCUUCUUUUCCUUUUUCUUCUUUUCUUUCUUUUCCUUCUUAC